rnacentral:ncRNA from 1 species
UUUACUUAGGUCUGUGGUUGAAAGUCGAUGCUAGUCGCAGGCAAAGCGAUCCACGUAAGGUAGUACAAACUACUGAUCAUGGUGCGGCUUAGAAGUGAGUCCUACCUAGAGAAUUAUACAUAUAGUUAAUUUAUCUAGAGAGGAGUAUUAGUGGGAAAAUCCUGCAAACCUCCCAGUAGGCAGGUGUGGGGUCAAAAAAUCAGGUCAGCUAAGUAAA